GAGGGUAUAGCUCAGUGGUAGAGUGCAUGCCUAGCAUGCAUGAGGUACUGGGUUCAAUCCCCAGUACCUCCA
rnacentral:tRNA from 1 species